rnacentral:tRNA from 1 species
AGGGGUGUAGCCAAGUGGUAAGGCAACGGACUUUGACUCCGUCAUUCGUAGGUUCAAAUCCUGCCUCCCCUGCCA